CCUACGGGAGGCAGCAGUGGGGAAUAUUAGACAAUGGGGGCAACCCUGAUCCAGCCAUGCCGCGUGUGUGAAGAAGGCCCUCGGGUUGUAAAGCACUUUCAGUGAGGAAGAACGCCUGGUGGUUAAUACCCAUCAGGAAAGACAUCACUCACAGAAGAAGCACCGGCUAACUCCGUGCCAGCAGCCGCGGUAAUACGGAGGGUGCGAGCGUUAAUCGGAAUUACUGGGCGUAAAGCGCGCGUAGGUGGCUUGAUAAGCCGGUUGUGAAAGCCCCGGGCUCAACCUGGGAACGGCAUCCGGAACUGUCAAGCUAGAGUGCAGGAGAGGAAGGUAGAAUUCCCGGUGUAGCGGUGAAAUGCGUAGAGAUCGGGAGGAAUACCAGUGGCGAAGGCGGCCUUCUGGACUGACACUGACACUGAGGUGCGAAAGCGUGGGUAGCAAACAGGAUUAGAUACCCCGGUAGUC
rnacentral:rRNA from 1 species